UUGUAGAGUAAUUUUCAUAUUUGGGUUUGUCUGUUACUAAGAAGACAGAAAAGGUGUAACUUGGAUUAUGAGAUGUGGCGAAAAUGUGUAGAAAUUAAAAAGAGGACAAAAGGGUGAACGUUUUUUUCUUUGUUCAGUUGUAAAAUCUGCAGAAAGAAACAAGAAGAAAUGAAGGAAGGAAGAAAUUAUAUAGAGUAUGAGAAAGUGAGUAGAACGUAUAGAUUCUGAAGAUCUGGUGAAUUCCAACUUCUCACCAAAUCAGUGACUUUCUACAAAUAUUGAAAUCUAAAUGAUGUCAGUUGAAAUGAACUAAGCAAUUCCGCGUGAGAGUGACGACCAAAUAUCACACACUGUUGAGAGAGAGAGAUUUUCCCUUCUCUUUGCUUUGUUUCG
rnacentral:lncRNA from 1 species